rnacentral:rRNA from 1 species
GGUGAUGGCCUACCAAGGCGACGACGGGUAGCCGGCCUGAGAGGGCGACCGGUCACACUGGGACUGAGACACGGCCCAGACUCCUACGGGAGGCAGCAGUGGGGAAUAUUGCGCAAUGGGCGGAAGCCUGACGCAGCGACGCCGCGUGGGGGAUGACGGCCUUCGGGUUGUAAACCCCUUUCAGCAUCGACGAAGCUUCAUCCUUUCAGGGUGGGGUGACGGUAGGUGCAGAAUAAGCGCCGGCUAACUACGUGCCAGCAGCCGCGGUAAUACGUAGGGCGCGAGCGUUGUCCGGAAUUAUUGGGCGUAAAGAGCUCGUAGGCGGUCUGUCGCGUCUGUCGUGAAAGCCCACGGCUUAACUGUGGGUCUGCGGUGGAUACGGGCAGGCUAGAGGCAGGUAGGGGAGCAUGGAAUUCCCGGUGUAGCGGUGAAAUGCGCAGAUAUCGGGAGGAACACCGGUGGCGAAGGCGGUGCUCUGGGCCUGUUCUGACGCUGAGGAGCGAAAGCGUGGGGAGCGAACAGGAUUAGAUACCCUGGUAGUCCACGCCGUAAACGUUGGGCGCUAGGUGGGGGUUCUUCCACGGAUACCGCGCCGUAGCUAACGCUUU